CCAGCAGCUGCGGUAAUUCCGGCUCCAGAAGCGUAUACAAACGUUGUUGCAGUUAAAAAGCUCGUAGUUGAAUUUUUUGGUUUUUUUUGAUUUAGUGUGUGAAUGAAUGUUUACAUAAUUUUUGAUCAAAUGAGUCCAAUCCUUCUUUAAUUUUCUGUAAAAAGAAAGGUUGAAGAUCAAUCACUGUAAAAAAAUUAGAGUGUUUCAAGCAAGAUGUAAAGUUUGGAAUAUAAUAGUAUGGAAUGAUAAGAUAGGACUUAUAAUCUAUUUUGUUGGUUUGUAAUUAUAAGUAAUGAUUAAUAGGGACAAUUGGGGGUAUUCGUAUUCAGAUGUCAGAGGUGAAAUUCUUGGAUUUUCGGAAGACGAACAACUGCGAAGGCAUUUACCAAGGAUGUUUUCA
rnacentral:rRNA from 1 species